UUAUGGCUUUUUUUCCUAAUGAAACAAAUAUGCCGUCAUUUUAUCUUCAGCGCCCCGCAAGGUUCCUAAGCUUGCUCCGCCAAACACACUCGCGCCUCCUAGACUGGUCCUACCAACAGGAAAACGUAUCCCGCCAAAUCCUACAUGGCUUCGGAGAGUAUAGUCCUUGCCACAGCGCCACAUCACCCGGCUGAGGAACCGACAGUAUGUUGGAGCGCUGCUGAGCGCGAAGAAAAUAGGACACAGCUGAUUGAGAAAUUGGAAUUGUGACAAUACUUAGCCUCCAGUUAAUGAGCUCCAAAACGUACCACAAACGUAAGCCUAAUACAGUGCAACAAUGCGCACGGCUUCAAGGAAGACCAGAGGCCCGUAUUCGGCUACGACCUGGAAAAAUAGGUUGCUCCUGAAAAGGCGACUAAAAUUGUGUGGUUAGGUUGAAGAGGCCCCCGAAUGCUGGCGCCAUAAACAAAUUAUUCAAGUUACGUUCGCUAAGUUUUCGAUUUAUAACAAGAACCUGCACGUGCACAGUGCAAGACGUCUUUGCAUCAACACAGUGAAAACUGCUCGUC